GCUCUGUCUUGGUUACCAGGGUUUGGAGGGUCAGCACCUCUUUCCUGGGUGCGGGACACUCCAGCUCCAUGGUUAGACACCCACUGCUUAUGGAGACAGGGCAGGGAGAAAGGAAUUAUCUCAGAUGUCCUUAAUGCAGGCACAGAAUUUACAAAUUCUGGGCGGCUGUCAUUUUGUUUAUUCAUAUGGUACCCAGAUUGACUAAUGCAAGACCCUAGAUCCCAGCUGCCUGACUUCUUUGUAUAAGAGCCCACAAAAUGAGAGCUGCUGUCUUUAUUCCAGCCUGGCGAUUCUUGGGUAGAUGGCAAUUUUCUCCUCCCCUUCACGGUAGUCCAAGCUGUCACCAACAUCCUGCUGAUUCAUCUUAGAGUGCACUGCCUCUGACAGCCAUCUCCUGCCCAUGCCCACUGCCAUCUCCUGUUAGGGGCCUUCAUUACCUCAGGCCAAGACUGUCACAACUGCCUCCCAACUGGUGUCCGUCUUUCAUACACUUGUCAUAUCACUAUCACUAAAAUUAUGAUGUCACAUACCUGCUCAGUCCUUUAGUGACUCCCAGAGGGCUCAAGUUUAAAGCCUGUGGUAUGUGGUCCUCUACUAUAUCUCCCAGUUGGAUCUGUUAGAUCGCCUCCCACUAAGCCUCUUCCACUUGUGCCCUUGGUUCCUCUCAGUGACUGGAUGUCUCAGUCCUUCCUCACCUCAGUAGCCUCCUAUAUAACUGCCAUGUCCAAAAUGUCCUUAGCCAAAUCUGUUCAAGUCUCCAGAGAGAACCUCACUCCGUGAACAGUGAGAUCUCUUUGGACAGCGAUCCCAAAAUCAAGGGGCAUUUUCUUUCCUCCUCUCACUGGGAUCCAGUUUGCCUUAGUCUUGUUCCCUUUCUUUUCAUAGAGACAUGACUAACUCCGUCUCCAAAUGUUUCCCUGGUAGACACCCCAGCUCUAUUCCCGCAGCCUUUGAAACAGUUUUGAGGAAGGAUAAGGUAAACUUGC